rnacentral:lncRNA from 10 species
CUGGCGCCCAGCCGCCGCCCCUUCCGCCCCCGGCCCUGCGCCCUCGGGCUCUGCGGUCCCCGCAGCCCGCUCUCUCAACCUCGGUGGGCCUGGCCGCCGUGGAUUCCUUCUUUUCGGUUUCAGCGGUCGUCAGCCCUGCCCCAACGGGUGAGACACAGUAACCUGGUUGAACUCUGCAUCUGGAAAGCUGAAGACUGAAGAAAGAUAAGAGACAUUGACUAGUCUGGAAACAGGGACAUCUUUGGAACUUCGUUUUCAUCCACAGUAAACUUUUGAAGUGUCAUCAAUUGGAAUUGAUUUCUUCAUCUUAUUCUGCCUAUUGGGAAGAACAUGGCUUCAAGGAUUUUAAGUUUCCCUUUAGUUUUACAUGAACUUUGUAGGAAACAGAGCCCUUAAAGGGCUUGGGAAUAACAAGAAGAGAUUGAAGACAGAGAAGCUUGCCCUGUUUUCCUUGCCCCUUCAAAGAAAAGGAUUUACAGCUCAAACUUAGAACAGCUGUUGUCCAGCUUUAGCCAUCAAGAGAGAAAUAAAUUAAACCAC